GUAAUCGGUGGGCCGCUCCGGUGGCGCAGUGGUUAAGUUCCUAGGUUCUGCUUCUCAGCGGGUUCGUGGCCCCAUCCCGGUGCGCACAUGGCACUGCUUGGCAUAAAGCCAUGCUGUGGAGUAGGCAUUAACAACUUUAUGCCCAAGAAGAUGGAAUAUACUUGGAAUUCAAGUCCAUAUCCAUUUGUUUUAUUAUCAAGAGACCAAGGAAGUAUUUAUAACUCCCCUUCCUUUUUUUUUUCUUUUUCUUUUUUUGAUGUGCUGUCUUAAACAUCCAGAUGUAGGAGAUGGGCCAAAUACAUUAUUUGAUGUCAUUGGGGUGUUCUAAGUCCACAGAUGUGUCUAGUUUGAAAGCUAUUGAUGUAAGUUUUCUCUUUAAGAAAACAAAUUUCAUCUUGAAACUCUUUAAGCCUGGGGAAAAAAAAAAUCAUUCAGAGGGAAAAGAAAUUUUUCUUGAACUAAUUUCAACUAAGUUUAAUCAUUUAAAGGAAAACAUGUUUUACUUCUGCCUAAGU
rnacentral:lncRNA from 1 species